CAAAUUAGAGCUUGAUAAGCAUUUUACUUACAUUAAAAAGAUAAUUAAUAUUUAAUUUGA
rnacentral:tRNA from 1 species